AGGCUUCCAUAAAUAAAGGGGGCACUAUUCUUGCUCCAUAAGCUUGGCUUGGACUUCAUUCUGAGAGUGUAACUACCAAUGGUAAUUCUUUUAAGAAAAAUCAAAGAGCUAAUAAAUAAAUAUGGCACUCCCAGGAUCUGACUUCUCCCAGCCUUGUGUAAAUAAAAUGGACAAAAUUAACACUCUAUCUUCCACUAAGAAAAAUAAUGGGAAUACAAAAAUAAUCUCACCAAACACCGGUGGCUAAACUCUCUCUUGGUUUUUCUCUCAAGAGGAUUUUUUCUCUCACACAAGUGAGGUUUUCUUAUCUCUCAAAACUAUCUAUGUUUUGGUUUUCUAAAGGAUGAUUUGAACUAAAUGAAGGCAGCUGCUUUUAUAGCCAACGUUCCUGACAAAUUGGUGGCCUUGCAUGCGAGAGAGUUUUUCUCAUUUUCUCUUCCGUUCGUUUUCUUCAAAUUUUCCCGUCCUUUCUUUUAUUUUAUUUUAAUAUUUAUUUUCCUUCUUUUUCUCUCCUCCACUAAUGAGGGAAACCCAUCAAUCUCCCCCUCCCGAUUUGGGUGGAGGGCUCCAGCAGCCCAGCUGCUAUUCUGCAAAAUUCGUACUUGUCCUUAGGUAAGGACUUGGUCAUCAUAUCUGAACUAUUGUCAUCAGUAUGGAUUUUCUCAAGCUGUAAUUGCUUUGACUCUAACACAUCACGUAUCCAGUGAUAUCGCACAUCAAUGUGCUUCGACCUCGAGUGAAAACUCGGAUUCUUGCUCAAGUGGAUCGCACUCUGACUAUCGCAACGCAAAAUGUAUUUGUGCUGCUCUUGCCCUAAUUCUUGAAGGAAUCGCUUCAUCCAGAGCAUUUCUUUGCAUGCUUCAGUAUCUGCAAUAAACUCUGCCUCUGUAGUUGAUAGAGCAACACAUUUCUGUAACUUUGAUUGCCACGAAACUGCUCCCCCUGAAAAUGUAAUCAGGUAUCCUGAAGUAGAUUUUCUGGAAUCAAGAUCUCCUGCCAUGUCUGCAUCUGUGUAGCCAAUCAAUUCAGGUUUUCCACCUCCAAAGCACAAACUCAUUUUGGAAGUACCCCUAAGAUAUCUGAGAAUCCACUUAACAGCAUUCCAAUGCUCUCUGCCUGGUUUAGACAGGAAUCUGCUUACAACGCCAACUGCGUGCGUUAUGUCUGGCCUUGUGCAAAUCAUUGCAUACAUCAGACUACCAACAGCUGAGGAAUAUGGCACCAUAGCCAUGUUUUCUUUUUCUUUCUCACAUGUGGGACUCUGCUUUGAACUAAGCUUGAAGUGACUAGGAAAUGGAGUAGAAACUGGUUUUGCUUUAUCCAUGUUAAACCGCUUUAAUACCUUCUCGAUAUAACUUUCUUGUGAUAACCUCAACUUCCGAUUUUUUCUAUCACGGGAUAUACUCAUACCGAGGAUUCGUUUUGCGGAUCCUAAGUCUUUCAUAGCAAAAGACUUGCUCAACUCUUUCUUCAGCUUGCUAAUCUUGUCACUGUUUUGUCCUAUGAUCAACAUGUCAUCGACAUAGAGAAGAAGUAUGAUGAAUUCACCAUCAUCAAAUCUUUUCACAAAUACACAAUGGUCUGAAGUAGUCUUUCUAUAUCUGUGUUCAAUCAUGAAGGAAUCAAACUUCUUGUACCAUUGUCGAGGCGCCUGCUUGAGUCCAUAUAAGCUCUUCUUCAGCCGACAUACCAAAUCUUCUUUUCCUUUGACUUUGAAUCCUUCUGGCUGCUCCAUGUAUAUUUCUUCUUCAAGAUCUCCGUGAAGAAAAGCUGUCUUCACAUCUAGUUGUUCGAUCUCAAGAUUCAGGCUUGCAGCCAAACCGAGUACAACCCGUAUGGAUGACAUCUUCACUACGGGUGAGAAAAUCUCUUCAAAGUCAAUUCCUUUCUUCUGACUGAAACCUUUCACAACUAGCCUUGCCUUAAACCUGGGUUUAGAGUUGUUUUCUUCCGUCUUCAGUCGAUACACCCAUUUGUUCUUGAGUGCUCUUCUACCUUUUGGUAGGUUCACUAGAUCAUAUGUGUGGUUCUCAUGCAGAGAUUGCAUCUCUUCAUGCAUGGCUUUCAACCACUCAUCUUGUUGAUCAUGAGUCAAUGCUUCUUUAUAGCAUUCUGGUUCUCCCCCGUCUGUUAGGAGAACGUAAUCAUCUGGAGAGUACCUACUCGGAGGUCUCCGUACCCUGGUCGAUCUUCUUGGUUGGAAUUCAGCCUCUGGCUCUUCAUCGGCUUGUGCUUCUAGCUCUUCAUCCGCUGCAUCAUCUGCUAUACCAUCAGUUGUAUGACCAUCACUCAUGUCACCAUCAACUGGUUCAUUUAUAAUAGGAUCACUAGCUAGAUCAUCAGUAUCAUUGGAUUCAUCUCGCUCGUCAUUGUGCUCCAAUGGGGAAGGAACUGGAUCUAAGUUAGUUGGAUAUUCUCUAGGAUUAUUAGGUUUAUCACCUCUUCGAAUGUCUUCAAUGUUCUGAUCUUCAAACAAGACAACAUCUCUACUUCUAAUAAUCUUUCUAGCUACAGGAUCCCAUAACCUGUAACCGAAUUCUUCAUUCCUAUAUCCCACGAAGAUACAUUCUUUCGACUUUGCGUCGAGCUUGGAUCUCUCGUCUUUAGGAAUAUGAACAAAAGCUCUACAACCAAAAACUUUCAGAUGAUUGUAGGAAACGUCUUUUCCUGACCAGAACUUGUUCGGGACAUCACCAUUCAAAGGUGCUGAAGGAGAAAGGUUGAUUAGAUCAACCGCAGUCAUCAGGGCUUCACCCCAAAAACUUUUGGGCAGCUUGGCAUGAGAUAACAUUGUUCUUAUUCUUUCAACAAUUGUUCUGUUCAUUCUCUCAGCUAUGCCAUUAUGCUGAGGAGUCUUCGGAACAGAUCUUUCAUGCCUGAUUCCAUUACUUCUACAGUAGUUUCUAAAUGCCCCCAUAUAUUCUCCUCCGUUAUCGGUGCGAAUACAUUUGAAGCUUCUACCAGUCUCUCGUUCAACGCUAGCAUGAAACUGCUUGAAAACUUCAUACACUUGAUCUUUUGUUCUAAGUGCGUAAGCCCAUACCUUCCUGGAAUGAUCGUCAAUGAAGGUAACAAAGUAUCUUGCACCACCAAGAGUACUAGUGGUCAUAGGACCACAAACAUCAGAGUACACAACAUCCAAUACAUUGGGUUUUCUUUGUGCAUGACCAUGUUGGAACGAAGCUCUAUGCUGCUUUCCAGCCAAGCAAUGCGUGCAUGAUUUUAGAGGCAUGUCUUUCUUCAUCCCAAUCAGUGCCUCUCUUUUGGCUAGAAUUUGCAGCCCUUUCUCGCUCAUGUGACCGAGCCGUUUAUGCCAUAGCUCGAUUGAGUCUUCUGCGAGAGCAUUUACGUACCCAUUACUAACUUUUGCAUGUGUCAUGUAUAGGGUGUUCUCCUUCUUCCCUCGUGCUAGGACAAGAAAGUUCUUGCUGAGUUUCCAUUUCCCUUCAGCAAAGACAUUGGUGUAUCCUUCAUCGUCAAGUAAUCCAGUGGAGAUUAGAUUGAGACGCAUGUCUGGAACAUGUCUCACAUCCUUGAGAACCAAGUGACAACUUGUGUUGGUUUCAAGGGAAAUAUCUCCUCUUCCCACGAUCUUGGACAAUUUGUCAUUUUCCAUCCUCACAUUACCAAAAUCUCCAUUGGUGUAAGAUGUAAAGAAGUCCCUCCGUGAGGUAACAUGAAAUGAUGCACCAGAGUCCACUAUCCAACAUGUAUCUUGAGAUGACAAAUUAACGAAGCCAUCACCACAUAGAAUAAUUACCUCAUUUCCACCAGAGGUAGUUGCGGUCGUGUGCCGGGCAUCACUUUUUUCGUUACCUCUAUCUUGCUCUCGUUUAAACAAUCUGCACUCUCUCUUCAUGUGGCCUAUCCCGCCACAAUGGUAACAUUCUAGGUCCUUUCUUGUCUUGAACCUUCCUCUCGAGCCAUCUCUUGGCCUGCCCUUUGACUUGUCUCGUCUGUGGAAUUUUCUAUUGUUAGUUCUUCCACGAUACUCUGAGACGAGGGCUUCUGACUCGGCUACUACACCUUGUUCUUUCCUCCUUGCUUCUUCAUUGAACAUGCUAUCUUUAACUAUGUCCAAUGUAAGAACGCCUUGAGGAGCUGAAUUGCUUAAGGAUACAACUAGUGUAUCCCAGCUAUCAGGCAAAGAGCUGAGUAACAUUAAUGCUUGUAACUCAUCAUCAAUCACCAUCUUCAUAUUCGUCAACAGGUUGAUCAAACCUUGGAAGUCACUGAGAUGCUCGGUAACACUUCGACCAUCUCUGUACUUAAGGUUUACCAACCGUCGGAUAACCGAUGCUUUAUUUUGAGCGGUCUUCCGCUCGUACAUGGACGACAAUUUUGUCCAUAAUUUGUAUGCAUCCGUCUCUUGUGCCACAUGGUGGAACACACUUUGAUCCACCCAUUGUCGGAUUUGUCCGACAACUUUUCUAUUCAGAAUGCUCCAUGCAUCGUCUGACUUCCCUGCUGGUUUUUGUCCCAGCAAUUGAAGAGGCUCAUACAAAUCCUUGCAGUAAAGGAUGUCCUCCAUUCUUGGAUUCCAAAUGGAGUAAUUGGAUGCAGUCAAUUUUAACAUUGUUGCUAAUGAUGAUGAUGAUGACUCCUCCAUCUUAAAUUACACAAGAAUAUAAUUUUUGAGCCGAAGCUCUGAUACCACUUGUUGGGAAAGAUUGCGAAAAAUCAAAGAGCCAAUAAAUAAAUAUGGCACUCCCAGGAUCUGACUUCUCCCAGCCUUGUGUAAAUAAAAUGGACAAAAUUAACACUCUAUAUUCCACUAAGAAAAAUAAUGGGAAUACAAAAAUAAUCUCACCAAACACCGGUGGCUAAACUCUCUCUUGGUUUUUCUCUCAAGAGGAUUUUUUCUCUCACACAAGUGAGGUUUUCUUAUCUCUCAAAACUAUCUAUGUUUUGGUUUUCUAAAGGAUGAUUUGAACUGAAGGAAGGCAGCUGCUUUUAUAGCCAACGUUCCUGACAAAUUGGUGGCCUUGCAUGCGAGAGAGUUUUUCUCAUUUUCUCUUCCGUUCGUUUUCUUCAAAUUUUCCCGUCCUUUCUUUUAUUUUAUUUUAAUAUUUAUUUUCCUUCUUUUUCUCUCCUCCACUAAUGAGGGAAACCCAUCAAA
rnacentral:lncRNA from 1 species